rnacentral:rRNA from 1 species
GAUGAACGCUGGCGGCGUGCCUAACACAUGCAAGUCGAACGAGCCUUCGGGCGAGUGGCGAACGGGUGAGUAGUACAUAGGUAACUUGCCCCCUAAGACUGGGGGAUAACUACCCGAAAAGGGUGGCUAAUACCGGAUACUCUCGGUUGAUCACAAGAUCUACCGAGGAAAGUUUUUUCGCUUAGGGAUAGGCCUAUGCCUGAUUAGUUAGUUGGUGGGGUAACGGCCUACCAAGACGACGAUCAGUAGCUGGUCUGAGAGGACGGUCAGCCACACUGGGACUGAGACACGGCCCAGACUCCUACGGGAGGCAGCAGUGGGGAAUAUUGCGCAAUGGGCGAAAGCCUGACGCAGCGACGCCGCGUGAGCGAUGACGCCUUUCGGGGUGUAAAGCUCUUUCAGUGGGAAAGAUAAUGACGGUACCCACAGAAGAAGUCACGGCUAAUUACGUG